rnacentral:rRNA from 1 species
CGAAAGCCGUUCUCAGUUCGGAUCGGAGUCUGNAACCCGACUCCGUGAAGCUGGAUUCGCUAGUAAUCGCGCAUCAGCCAUGGCGCGGUGAAUACGUUCCCGGGCCUUGUACACACCGCCCGUCAAGCCAUGGGAGCCGGGGGUGCUUGAAGUGCGUCGCCGCGAGGCGCGCCCUAGAGCAAAACCGGUGACUGGGGCUAAGUCGUAACAAGGUAGC